rnacentral:rRNA from 1 species
AACGAACGCUGGCGGCAGGCUUAACACAUGCAAGUCGAACGGACGUAGCAAUACGUUAGUGGCGCACGGGAGAGUAACACGUGGGAACCUACCUUUUAGUCCGGGAUAACGUCGGGAAACUGACGCUAAUACCGGAUACGCCCCAAGGGGGAAAGAUUUAUCGCUAAAAGAUGGGCCCGCGCUAGAUUAGCUUGUUGGUGAGGUAAUGGCUCACCAAGGCUACGAUCUAUAGCUGGUCUGAGAGGAUGACCAGCCUCACUGGGACUGAGACACGGCCCAGACUCCUACGGGAGGCAGCAGUGGGGAAUAUUGGACAAUGGGGGAAACCCUGAUCCAGCCAUGCCGCGUGAAUGAUGAAGGCCUUCGGGUUGUAAAGUUCUUUUGGAGGGGACGAUGAUGACGGUACCCUCAGAAUAAGCUCCGGCUAACUUCGUGCCAGCAGCCGCCGUAA